rnacentral:tRNA from 1 species
AUUGCUUUGGUUCAAUGGAUGAAUGUCUGUAUCGUUUACAGAAGAUAUGGGUUCAAGUCCCAUGUCCAACC